rfam:Stachybotrys chartarum IBT 40288 unplaced genomic scaffold scaffold1033, whole genome shotgun sequence.
UUAGCUCUCUUUGCCUUUUGGCUUAGAUCAAGUGUAGUAUCUGUUCUUUUCAGUUUAAUAUCUGAAAUGGCCCUACGGGGCCAACUCAAUAUUAAUCUUAUUUUUGCCUCAAGGGCGGUUUCCGCUGUGCUUGCACAUGAUUCCGCCCAUUGUGUCCCUGGUCUUACACUGCCUCCAGGCGACGCGAACAGCUC